ACAGAGGUCGGGCCCGCGGACCCCUUCGGGGCUCGGCGGGAUCGCUGUGGGGACAGAAUGGACCUGCCAUUGAGAAGGUGGGUCUGCAGGGGCCGCCUGCCCGCGCCCGACCCCCGCGGCGCCGCGGAAGCAUCACCCGGGCCGCACCCCUGGACCCCUUCCCGGUGGCCCGAGCCGAGGGACAGCGCGCCCCCGGGCUCCCGGCUACGCGGGGGGUGACUUCCGCGGGCGGGCAGGUGGGCGCAGGACUGUGAUCUGAUGGAUUCUGAUACAGGCCCAGGUGCUUUGGAAAAGCUGACUCGCAAGCACAAGGCCAGCAUCUCUCCCGUCCGCUGCCCUCUUGGAAGCUGGCUUUCUGGACUUCCCCUCCACUUUCCAUUUGUGGCCCCGGCUCCUGGGUGCUCCCAGACUCCAGGGCCUGGCGCGCCUUCCCACGGGGAUUCUUGAGGAGAGCACGUGACAUGAGAGUCCAC
rnacentral:lncRNA from 1 species